UACGUAGGGUGCAAGCGUUAAUCGGAAUUACUGGGCGUAAAGCGUGCGCAGGCGGUUUUGUAAGUCUGUUGUGAAAUCUCCGGGCUCAACCUGGGAAUGGCAAUGGAGACUGCAAGGCUAGAGUUUGGCAGAGGGGGGUAGAAUUCCACGUGUAGCAGUGAAAUGCGUAGAUAUGUGGAGGAACACCGAUGGCGAAGGCAGCCCCCUGGGUCAAAACUGACGCUCAUGCACGAAAGCGUGGGGAGCAAACAGG
rnacentral:rRNA from 1 species